GUUGCCGCCGCGCUGGAGGUGGUGGAGGUGGCGGACGUCGCGGCUUCAGUGACGGUCGAACCUUCCUCCUCCACGUGGCCACCGCCAGUUAGCUCUCGUCGUCACCUGCGUUCGCACACGGUUCCGCGUUUCCGGUGUCUGUCCCGGCCGCUGUCUGCAGAUCGUCGAUACUUCAUUCUUCUCGUUCGAUUGUGGCGCGGGAUGCUUCGAUCGACCUCUGGCUAGGUGUGCAGCCUUCCGACGAUCCAUUGGCCGAGGCGGCUUCUUCCGAUAUUGAACGGGAAUUGGAAGAUUGCUGAUUGAUGACCAGAUAUUUCCUUGAGUGGAUUUUGCGAGCGGUAAUCGACGUGAUCCGACACACCUUGCCGUUUUUGUGACUCGGCGGUACGAGAUAUGCGGUGUGCCAUAUCGAUCGUGCAAAAGUCGAUUCGACAAAUGACGAAACGCAACGUUGGGGUGGUUUAGAAAUUUCUUCAACUUCACGCGUAUUAUGCGCUAAACUAUGGAAAUUCGGCGAUACAUGUCACGAUCGAUUGACGGCCGUUAAAACGGGUUAGUCAAGCAUUACGCAAUUGAUGAAAUAUAUGCACGCAAAUAUAUGCACGAAAUGUAUACAUGUAUACACGUUGCUUUAUAUGCAAGCAUGGCUAUAAUGUAACAUGUAGUGUGCUUUUAUUGUUAAACGAUUGUGAGUUUUCACGAAUAAUAUCAUGAAAUAAUACGGUAAUAAAAGUCGUAUAAUAAUCAAGUUAUAUCGAAAAAUUCAGAGGAAUUAAAUUAAGGCAUUCUAUACGAUACAAGAGCAGAUCUAUAAUUUACGAGAUCUGUUUUGUGUACAAAGUAGGCAAUUAAAAUACGACUAAAAUGGACUUUAUAGACCUAGUUGAAAUUGAUAAAGUGAUUUAAAAAAUUCCUCAGUUGCUUUCAACUGUUGCGAAAUAUUCGAAUUCCAGCGUUAUCUAUCAGCGCUGUUGCAUUAACACAACAUUUCAGUCUAUAAUUUGUAAUUGUCUAUUUUAGAUACCACAUAGUUGAUAUUUAAACUAAACUUUGCAAAUAAUGGACUUGUUGAAUAAUUAAUAGACGCAACACUUAAUUAAAUAAUGCAGUAAUUAAUUAAUUAGAUAAUAUGAUAAUGGUCAAUUUAUUGAAUAAUACCUGCAGUAGGCGUAAAUUGUUACAUCGACGAAAUGUGUCAUGUGUCGCACUGCUCACCCCGACACGUGAAGGUUUGUACAUUUCGGCAUCUCGUGAUUUCGCGAUAGCUUCCUGGCGCAACCGCUUCCGGCGUUAUGCCGUCGUCAUAACGGUGGGGUGGGCAACGUCGUCGAGGUUGCGUCGAGGCGCACGAGCCUGCUCGCGUAAUAGGCGGCAUCUAAAUUUAAACGGUGGUGAAGCGAGCGCGCGUGACGCUGCGACGCCGCAGCGACGACGUCGGAUGGCGCGUGCCAAGACGCCGAUGACGAUGAAUGCUUUCGACGCCGCUGGUCUCUCGGGCGUCGCAAUCGUGAAUACCGGAACGGCGAUUGACUUGGUGAAUGACCGCACCAGGAAAAACUCUCGACUCCAUUCUGGCUGAAGAGAUUGAGACGGUGGAGGGAGAGAUUUUUCUAAAUAAGGCUGAAUUAAAAAUUCGAUUAUGUAAUUUGCACUUAUUUCUCAGGAUCGGCUCAAUACCGAUUUAUUCAUUUGUUUCUUUAUUUUUUUACCUUUUCUCUCACUAUUAUUCUUCUUUCUUCCAAGUAAAGUUUUCUCUUCUACGUAUUGUUACUUAAUGUCGCUUGUCUGUAUAUACAAAAUAAUUUAUAUAAAGUCGAGUUUAGAUGCUUAUAACUUCCUGAUUUCACUAAUGUAUUGCUCUCUUAAUAAAUAAGUAUGACGUAUGUAAAUUUGUGGUUUCUAAAUUUAAGCUAGUUUUGAAAAUGUAAUUUACUCGCAGCCAUAGACGAAUACAACUUGUGAGGUUUGGGAGGAGAGAUCUUCAUAUCGUAAAAAAAUUGAAAUUGUAAAAUGUCUCAAUGUGCUGACUAAUCUCACCUUGCAUAUUUCUGGCGGAGUUUAGCCGCUUGCGUUCGCGAGAACGUGCAUUACUGUCACAGUGUGUCGCAUAUAGUGGGCGGUGCGCUGCGUCAGACUUCGCAGUGGAGAACGGGUUAAAAGCGUACGCAAUGAAAUUAUACAAUGCAGUCGCGAGGAGAUAGGAGCACGCUGACUAGAAAUUUGCAGAAAGGAGUGCCGAGAAAAACUGGACCAAUCAUUGCCAAGUCAAAGAAAACAAAGGCAAGAAAACGCAUCGCUCGUUGAAAAAGUGAAGAGAUAGCUUAUGCGAAUUUGGCACAACAGAAAUCUGCACGCGUAUAAAAAUGCAUUACAAAAAUGCUUUAUUUAAUAUCAGGGAAAAGUAGUGAAAUUAGAGAAAAAUUACGUUUUUGUUAACAGAAUGACGUCGUGUGUAAAUCUCUUUUGAGAUAGCUUUAUCACCAAUUAUCACCAAUUUAUGCCACCAAAUGCAUUACAGUGCAAUAAUUAUAUUUCGUUACACUUCUAAGCAAAAUUAUCAAAAUCGAUUAUUACUUACUCAUCACUUUAGUGUCGAUUAAAUUCCUUAUUUGAUAUCGAUUCAUCAUUAAUGCAUGAACGAUUUAAAAUUGGUAAUUCCGAUUGCGUUCCUGAAUUGGCAGCGAAUGAUUGUUAAAUGGAACAAGUCCAGUCAAUCAAUUGACCGAACUAAUCGCGUCGAAUUUGCACAUACACGGCGGACGUGCAGCAUGAGAACCACUACCAAAAUAUUGAUCUUCCAACGUUUACAAUCCGCCGCUAAUACUAACUACAGAGAGAAACAGAGAGAGAGAGAGAGAGAGAGAGAGAGAGAGAGAGAGAGAGAAAGCUAGCGAAUAAUUGUUUCACCAACGUCGAGUUAAAUGUUCGGUGCACAGAUGUCAACAAAUUCGUCCACAUGCUUGAACGUGCUUUCCGUUUAUUAAUAGUGAUCUAGAUAAAAGAAAAUAUAAUUUAAUGCAUUAUUAUCCAUAUAUCCGUAUAUCGGAAUUGUUUGUUUUUAAUUGAAUUCCAUUUUAUUUAAUUAAAAUUCUAUUUGAUAUGGCCAAAAAUUUAAAGUUUCUUAUUUUAUUAUAUUAUAUUAUAUUAUAAUCUUGUGUUACAUACAGUUUAAGUGAAUAUAACAGCAAGGAUGAUCUGCAAUGAUGACGGCAAUGUCUGUCAAAGAAAAAAUGACAUGAGAGAAUUUUCUCACGUCGACUUUCGGAGCGCAUUUGAUUUGUUUGAAUAUGCGUGCAUUUAACGUUGAACAAACGCAACGUAUAAUUUCUCUACGAAUUCAACAGCUGCGCAACACCUCGGCACUCUGCGCCGUGCUAUAAACGUAAUACCUUUCGCAAUACGGAGCGUAAUUUCGCGUGAUGUCACUGUGCAGUAAUGCGCGAUAGAGCGCCGCAAGGGACGCCGCGCGCGCGUUGCAUCUGCGGCGCAUCGCGCACGUGCUUCCUCACGAGGUUUUUGCGCGCUGGUCAGUGACGACACAGAAAUAGCGCAUCGGUGAAUAGCCGGCAUGAAAAAAGAUCGCGUUAGCCCCAAUCGCCAAUUCAUUCGGACUCGAAAUGUAAAAAAGAAAUGCUUCGCACGAGAAAGAAAAAAAUUCCUGGAAGCACUUCUGGAUAGGAGGAGUAUCCUCCAACGAACUGAUUGAUGACUUAGCGGUCACUUUUAUUGUCGAAGACGGCUUCUCAUUUAAAGUUCCGGAGUGUGUGUAUCUCGGUUUGCGUGUCCUCGCGAAGGAAAUGAGGAGACCUCUUUAAGCUCGUCGAUGCUAGAGUCGAAAGCUAUUUCUAAGCUUGCGUGAAAAGGAGAGAGGAUAUCGGGAUAUGCGCGAGAGUGACUGCUCGACGAGGGCACUGACGAUGCUACUGACGAAGCGUACCGUAUUGAUUCAACGCGGUAAUCCGGUUGACUCUAACGAACGCGCAAAUCAAAUAUAUUCGUACAGGAAGCUGCGAUUUCGAUGAUGAGGCAAUCAUCAACCGUGAUGCGCCGUGACGCCUCUCGAUGCUAUCGAUCGAGAAACGUCGCCGAUAAUCCCUCGAUGACGUACCACCUUCAUCCGAUGACCCACUUCGCGGGCUUUCACUUUUACCUCCAAAUAUUUAUAUCCUCGUGCCAUCCACGCAAUCCUCCAAUUUUGCUCCCAUUCAUGAAUCAUCUCUUUUUGGAAUCGCGAAAAAUACUUUGCUAUUUUAUCAGAUAUUUAGUUUUCAGUCUUAUUAUAGAUUUGCCAGUUUACUGGUAUUACCAAUUUUGAUAUUAUUUUUUAAGAUGUAAUUCAGACCAGCAUGGAACGAAAAAUAAUUGACAUGUUUAUACUCAGUUUGAUGACAGAAAACGGUAUACGCGGAUUGCAAAUACAAUUGUCUGUUCACAAAUAAGAACUACAAUAGCCAUAAUUCAAGAUAUAUAAUCUGAGUGACACAAUGUAUUCACAAUUACCGUUCUUUAGCUCGAUAAACAACAUCGUUUCGAUAAAAAGCUCCGGUGAGUUAUGAUUAUAUCAACGAUUGCCCGUUAAUAAUCCCACAAUAAUCUCACGAUUAUACGAUGCGCCGUAAAAGAAUGCGGUGGGACUGGUUCCAGCUAAAGUCGAGAGACGCGAAACGCAUUCGGAAUCGUGCGACCGAGGAGGUAUCGAUCUUUCGCUGCCGUUAGUCGUCGUGUCGAUCGUGGCGCGGCUAGCCUGGCAAAGUGGUGAAUCUUUCAAGAGUCGCAUCGCGAGAAUUAAGAGACAACUCUUACGAGCGCGAUUUGCAACAUUUACAUAAACAUUUACAUAAACAUUUACAUAACCAGCCGGUGUAAAUAUAACUCUGUUGUAAUGAUGAUAGAGCGGGUAAGAGCCGACUUUCGUGUCAAUUUAUCCGCACUCCUCCGAGUCUCCUGUUUUUCAAUAUCGUCUUCGCCGAUGAUUAAGGCAAGCGAUAAAUCAGUGGCGUGGACGCGUCGCGAUGACGGUGCAUCGCGAUUUAUUAGUUAGUGUAUAUCGGCCGGUGUAUAUUUUCUCUGUCUCUGAUCGACAGCGUUCGAGAGGUGACUGUGUCCUGGCAUUCCUCGACGAGGUCGCAACGGCGAGGGAGGACGACGACUUUUUUCGCAUUGAUAUUAAAUCGUCGUGUCACCUAUGCUCCGCGAGCUCGUAGAUCAGCUCGACACGCUCCGCGUACGCACCGAAAGGAUUUCAAUUAAGAGCUGACGCGAAUAAACGCGGAGCGACGCGUGACGCAAACAUUGCGACACGCGUGCCGCAUCCUUCGUCGAAGCGCUAAUUGCCGGUUCGACGCUAAUUCGACAGACGAACGCUGAUUCCUGAACACAUGCAUCGGGCAGAAUACGUUUUCGCGAAUUUAAGCGCUCGAUGCAGGAAUAAGGUCAACCCGCGAUCUCAAAGAGUUUUAAUGUGAAGUGCUGUCUAAAACGGACCCUAUAAAUUAUAGACUCGCGUCAUUCUUGCGCGCUAAAUCUCUCAUUUAUUGCGGAAAUAACGCGUUAUUCUUGAUAAAAUCCUUCACGAUUACCGUCUCGUGCACUUGCACCACGGCAGCUACGGUAUUUUUCUACUUUAUAUUUUUAGCAUCUAGUAUUUCUUAGCGUCUAUCACAUAUAACUUUAAUAUCUUACUAAAAUUGGAAUAAAAUAUCCGUCCACGAUUUUAUAUGUCUGUGCAAUUAAUUAGUCAGUUACUACUAUUAAUGAGGAACGCUAUUCGCAUCGCGUGAAUUUCUAAAAAUUGUGCGGCAUAUUGAUAAUUGAUAACGCUAUGUCUCGGAUUCUUCGUGCAUUUCAAGGACGAUGAAACAACAAAUCCUGCAAGCGCUGGCAGGGUUGGAAUAACUCGGUUUCGUGCAAAGUAACUUUAGUCACGAUUGUCGUAUCCUUGACAGUGAUACACAACAUGACGGCAUUUCUUUUCUCAAGAAGUAAGAGAACGGUGAGCUUAUAACAGUUUCGGAGAAGCUUUCUAUUUUUUCCUUUUCUUAUCUAACAAAGCGUUUAUGUUGUAUUAUGUUAGCUCGAGUAUCGUAUGCGCAUAUUAUAAAAUCAGUUAAGUAAUAGAAAAUAAAAAGAAAAUGUCAUCAGAGAAGGCGUGGGAGGAUUUGCUUCAAGGGAAUAUUACAUGGACGAAUACGCACGCAUAAAAAUAUACGUAAAA